GAGGUGGGAGGAUUGCUUGAGCCUGGGAGGUCGAGGCUGCAGUGAGCCAUGAUCAUGCCACUGCACUCCAGCCUGAGUGACAGAGUGAGACCUUGUC
ensembl:miRNA